AUUGAACGCUGGCGGCAUGCCUUACACAUGCAAGUCGAACGGUAACAGGUUAAGCUGACGAGUGGCGAACGGGUGAGUAAUAUAUCGGAACGUGCCCAGUCGUGGGGGAUAACGUAGAGAAAGCUACGCUAAUACCGCAUACGAUCUACGGAUGAAAGCGGGGGAUCGCAAGACCUCGCGCGAUUGGAGCGGCCGAUAUCAGCUUAGGUGUUUGGUGAGGUAAAAGCUCACCAAGCCUGCGAUCUGUAGCUGGUCUGAGAGGACGACCAGCCACACUGGAACUGAGACACGGUCCAGACUCCUACGGGAGGCAGCAGUGGGGAAUUUUGGACAAUGGACGCAAGUCUGAUCCAGCAAUGCCGCGUGCAGGACGAAGGCCUUCGGGUUGUAAACUGCUUUUGUACGGAACGAAACGGUGAGCUCUAAUACAGUUUGCUAAUGACGGUACCGUAAGAAUAAGCACCGGCUAACUACGUGCCAGCCGCCGCGGUAA
rnacentral:rRNA from 1 species